AGGGACUGGCUCUAUAACAUUAUCAGAUGACCUUCUCCUUUCAUCAGUUCUAUUUGUCCCUAAACUAAAUUGCAAUCUUCUUUCAAUAAGCAAACUUACUCGAGAUCUGAAUUGUGUAACUAAAUUCUAUCCAAAUCUUUGUGAAUUUCAGGUUGAGGGCCCGAAGAAGGUGAUUGGCAGUGCUGAAAUGCAUGAUGGGUUCUAUAUACUUUAGGAUUCUCCUAACAGUAAACAAGUUCACAAAUCAAUUGUGGUAACCAUUCCAAUUUAGAUUCUAUUUUCAAUCCUGUAUCUGUUUCGAAUGAAAAUCUCGUCAUGUUGUGCCAUUUUCGACUUGGACAUCCAAAUUUUAGUUAUCUUGAAAAACUAUUUUCUCAGUUAUUUGACAAAAGACUCAAAUUCUUUCAUUGUGAAGUAUGUCAACUUGCUAAACAUACUUGAAACUCUUUUCUUGGUCUUCCUUACAAACCUUCACAACCUUUUUCGAUGAUGCACAGUGAUAUUUGGGGACCCUCACGAGUAACAAAUAUUAAUGGAUGUAGAUGGUUUGUAUCCUUUAUUGAUGACCAUACUAGGACAACAUGUACAUUCCUUAUGAAAGAAAAAUUUGAAAUUGCUUCCAUUUUUAAAAUUUCUCAUUUCAUGAUUCAAAAUCAAUUUAACUGAAAGAUUUAAAUCCUAAAAGCAAAUAAUGGAAAGAAAUAUUUUAACUUCUUUAUUGGUCUAUACUUGUUAGAUCAAGGAAUUGUUCACAUUAGUUCAUGUGUUGAUACUCUGCAACAAAAUGGAGUGGCUGAGAGGAAAAAUAGACAUCUUCUUGAAGUUUCUAGAUCUAUCAUGUUUUCAAAUCAUGUUCCUAAACAAUUUUGGGGGAAGCCUUACUCACUACCACCUAUCUCAUCAAUCGUAUGCCUAGCCGUGUACUACAAUUCAAAGCCCCAAGAAAUCUGUUACUUGCAACAUUCCUUCAUAUCUCAACUUUCUCCUCAGAUCUUCCAUUCAAAGUCUUCGGAUGUACAACUUUUGUCCAUGUUUAUGAUCACAAAAGAACAAAACUUGAUCCAAAGUCUCACAAGUGUCUCUUCAUCGAGUAUUCCAACACUCAAAAAUUGUUCAAAUGUUACUCCCCAAUUACAAAAAGGGUUUAUAACACUAUGGAUGUCACAUUUUUUGAACAUCAAUCUUUCUUUCCCAAGUCUGGUAUUCGGAGAGCAUUCACAGGAAUAUCAGCUUUGGGAAACUCUUCAGGAUCAUCAAGCUGCAUUUCCUCAACCCAAUGUUGUGGCACACGAACAUCAAAGUGCUCAGUCUUUGUUUUCUUUGCCUAUCCAACCAGAUCAAUCAACUGGUCCUUCCUUGUCUUCUUUUCCUAUCCAACCAGAUAUCAAUCCAGAAAACACAUCCAACCUGUCCUUUUCUACAAUCAAUCUGACCUCACCUUCCUCAGAAAAUCCAAACACUCUUUCAAACUUACCACCACCUCAAACUCAAGCACAAUUUGAUACAAGUAACAAAGAACUUCGUGUUUAUAGCAGGAGAAAAGUUGGGAAUAUAGAGAUCAACAUGCAAGACAAAAACUGUUCAAACACUCAUCAAAGCCCUCUCAACCUUGAAAAUCAUGAAAGUAAGGAUUCUAUGACUCAUGAGUUUGUUUCUCCUAUUAUUGAUGAUCUCGACCUACCUAUUGCUCAUCGGAAGGGUGUUAGAACUUGUACCAAUCACCCAUUGAAAAAUAUGUUGCUUAUGGGACACUAACACCUAUGUGCUGAGCUUUUGUCUCUUUUCUUGAUCUUAUUUAGAUUCCCACAGACAUUUAUGAGACCUUGAGAGAGCCUAAAUGGAAGAAUGCAGUCGAUGAAGAAAUGAAUGCUCUUGAGAAAAAUGGUACUUGGGUUCUCACUGAGUUACCUCAAGGAAAGCGGACAGUUGGUUGUAAGUGGAUUUUCACCGUCAAGUAUAAUUCAGAUGGGAGUAUCAACAGAUUCAAGGCUCGAUUAGUUGCCAAGGGGUUAACUCAAUCAUAUGGUAAUAUAAGGAGUCCUUUGCUCCCGUUGCCAAACUUAAUACAGUAAGAGUUUUAUUAUCACUUGCUGUAAAUUGUGAUUGGCUUUUAUAUCAGUUGGAUGUAAAAAAUGCAUUUUUGAAUGGAGAUCUCGAAGAAGUCUUUAUGGAAAUUCCACUAGGGAUGAAGAAACACUCUAGUGGUCGAGUGGUGUGCAAACUUCUCAAAUCUCUUUAUGACUUGAAACAGUCACCUCGGGCAUGGUUUGACCAAUUUGGGAAGUUAGUUGUCAAACAUAGAUAUACUCAAAGCCAGGUUGAUAGAGAAGCUAGCAAUUCUCAUCGUCUAUGUGGAUGACAUAAUCUUAACUAUAGAUGACUUGGGAGAAAUUUCAGAUUUCAAAAGACUUCUUGCCUAAGAAUUUGAAAUCAAAGAUCUAGGAACCCUCAAUUACUUUCUUGGUAUGGAAGUAGCCCGAUCGAAGGAAGGAAUUGUUAUAUCUCAGCAAAAGUAUAUCGUAGAUCUUCUAAAGGAAACUGGAAUGAUUGGGAGCAAGCUGGUUGACACUCCCAUGGAUCCAAACUUGAAAGUUAAUCGAAGGGAGGAUUCAACUCCAGUAGAGGGGGAGCUAUCAAAGAUUAGUAGAAAAACUAAUCUAUCUCUCUCAUACUAGACCUGAUAUCGCCUUCCCUGUCAGUGUUGUAAGUCAGCACAUGCACAGUCCUUGUGAGGAGCACUUGGAAGCAGUGUAUCGUAUUCUAAUGUAUCUGAAAAUGACACCAAAUCUUGGUUUGCAACUCAGAAAACACAACAACCGAGACUUGGAAGUUUACACAGACUCUAGUUGGCCUGGAAAGUUGAUCGACAAACGAUCAACCAGUGGUUAUUGCACCUGUGUGCGGGGUAAUUUAGUUACUUGGCGCAGUAAAAAGUAGUAUGUGCUCUCAAGGAGUAGUGCAAAGUCAGAAUAUUGUAGUUUGGCCUUGGGUAUUUAUGGAGAGAUGUGGAUCAAGUCUUAUGAAUGAAUUGAGGUUUGACUCUCCCGAGUCCUUUAAAAUGUAUAGUGAUAGUCAAGCUGCAAUUAACAUUGCUAAAAAUCUAGUUCACCACGAUAAAACUAAACAUGUUGAAAUAGACACUUCAUUUCUGAGGAGGUGAAUUCAAAGAAUAUUGGGCUCAACUACAUUCACAUAGAAAUAGAUUGCCGCCAUCCUAACAAAGGCCCUACCAAGAACAAGUUUUGAGGAAUUCAAUUCCAAGCUGGGUUUGUAUGACAUAUACAACUCAGCUUGAGUGAAGUGUAGAAAUAUCAUUGUAAAUACCUAGAGUUUUUUGUACAACUAAGUUUAGGUUAUAUUUUUUCCUUAUAUUUUAUCUAGCUCUUUGUAUUCAACCUAUACAUAGGUCAUACUGUUUAUCAAUAAAAUCAGAUUAGAAGUAUUAUUCACAAAAUCUACAAGGCGCAACCAGUUCUGAAAGUUUAAUGGUAAAGGCUUUAUAGGAUUCAGAUAAGUGGUUGUAGGAUAUGUAUUUAGCCAUGGGGUAUUUGGUACAGGUACGGGUUCCUUUCCUAAGAGCAAUGGGAAUGUUGUCUAACUCAAGAUUUCCUGGGGCUAAUUCUGGGGUAGUUUUAGAAUCAGAUUUUGGGUUUAAAUCAUGUUGAGAUGGCUGAAUAAUAUGUGGAGAUGAAUCAGAAACAGAAUUGGAAGAAGAAUUACCUGGAAUACUCGAAGAACCAUUGUCCAGGGCUUUCAAUUGACCAUGUGUAGGGAUUAUCAAAGGAUUCCUACUUCUUUCAGUGACAUUUUUCCUCGAAUAAACCACAGGCUCAAGAUUAUUACGAUAUUUUAUUAAUCGUAGCAUUUCUUUAUUUGACAAACCAAUUUCAGAUUCGUAAGUGGGAUUAGUUUCCUGAAUAGAAAUAUCAAGAAUAGUCUUAAGUAAAGCUUCCACAGUUUAGCAAAAAUUUGGUUCCACUAAAUUCUCCCCCUGGAUUAAAUUUUUGAAGAAAAAAGGGAUAUUUUCUAAAAAAGAAACAUCCAUAGUCGUAUAAAUACGCUUAGUGAUAAGAUUGAAACAUUUAUACCCUUUUUUAUUAGGAGGAUAACAAAAAAAAAAACACAUUUUUCAGCUCUAGGAUCUAGCUUAGACCAAGAUCGUUUAAGAAUGUGAACAUAAGCGGUACAACCAAAUUUUUUUAAAGGUAAAUCAGAAUUAAUUCUAGAAUUAGGAAAGCUUUUUGAGACAUUCUAAUGGGGUAAGAUACUGUAAAAUUUUGUGGGCAUCCUAUUUAUUAAAUAAGAUGCAGUAAGAAUGGCAUCCCCCUCCAUAAAUAUUUAGGAAUUUGCAUAUAAAACAUCAUAACACAAGUAGUUUCCAAUAAAUGUCUUUUUUUCCUUUCAGCCACGUGUAUCUGGACAAGUAGAUUGAUGCAAAAUACCUUUGUCUUUUAAAAAUUCCCAAGGAUUUUAUUAAAAUACUCUGUUCCAUUAUCAGUUCUUAAAAUACUAAUUUUUGUUUGAAAUUGGGUUUCAAUCAUUUUGUAAAAAUCGAAAAAAAGCUGCCAGCCUCAGAUUUUUCACUCAUUAAAUAUACCCAACAAAGACGAGUAUGGUCGUCUAUAAAAGUAACAAACUAUUUUUUUCCAGAAUUAGUGAUGACCUUAGAUGGUCCUCAAACAUAACUAUGAAAAAGAUAAAAAUGUUUUGAAGAUUUAUAGGAUGUUUAACAUAAGACUUACGUUGGCUCUUGGUCAAUAAACUUCCACAUUGAAAAGUGUAGAUAAUACUGUUUUAUUUUAUUAGCUAAUAUUAUUUAAAUAUUUGUUAGAGAUGUUAGUUACAUAAAAUGUGAAACCAAUUUGUAUAUUUCCUUUCUUAGAUAUUUGAUAGGCUGAUUUAAUUGUAAUUAGAUGAUUUGAUUUUAUUGUAAUUACUCCAGAAUGUUAGUUGGUUGGUUAAUUACUCCAGAAAGUUAAAUUAUUUGGUUGGUUGUUAUUCUUGGAUAAGCUGAAUGUCCAUGAUAACUUGCAAAGGUGUAGACCUUUUCACUAUUUGUCGCCAAAUUGGUGUGUUUGUUGUAAGAAUGAGGGGGAGUCUGUUGGUCAUUUGUUUUUGGAGUGUUUGUUUACUAGGGAGGUGUGGUUUAAAGUGCUAGAUGAGUUUGGGAUUUCUUGGUGUAUGCCUUCCUCUUGUUCUCAAUUAUUCCUUUGCCAUUUAGAGGGGGUCGGAGGGUGGCUCGUUUGUGGUAGAGUACUGUGUUGGCGACUUUUUGGGCAAUUUGGCUGGAGAGAAAUAGUAGGAUUUUUUAAGAUGUUUCUUCCACAGUGGAAAGUCUCUGGGAUAAGAUCAAGUUCUGAGUGGCCACGUGGGUGUUUAGAUCAAAAGGUUUUGAGGGAGUUUCUUUCUUGGAUCUUUGUAGGGAGUGGAGUAGUUUGUGGCUGUAAUAGUUUUUGGAGAGUGAGUCGAUAGGAGUUUUCUUAAGAUUGGUAGGUUUAAUUUUUAUUUGUUUUUUGUAACCACGGUUUUCCUCCGCCAUAAGUGAGGGCUCUCAAUGUUAUUGAGAGGAGAUCAUCCUAUGACCUCUAUCUCUUUUUCAAAAAAAAUUACUCCAGAAUAUUAGGUAUUCAAUACCAAAUAUCUCUAUAGGUUGUACCAUGCCUAUUUAAAUGGCAUAGCUCUCAAAUAAUAAAAUAUGUGAGGCUAUUUUCCACAUGGUAUCAGAGCCCAUACCCUCACCCUUGAGAUUGCAAUUUUUUUUUCUGCCAUUUUUGAAAUCGCAAACAAUUUUUUUUCCUUCUUCUAAAUCGCAGCCUUUGUUUCCCUUAUGGCAGACCCCACCAACCAAACUCCUCCAAUGGCUUCCAUCACUAGUGAUAACUCGGCCAACUCCUCCAUCAACAAAACUCUUAAGAAUUCUUCUGAUGCCUCUCCUACUCCAUUUGAUCACCAAAAUUCUCUCCAAAUCACAAUCCACAAGCUAAAUGGUCAGAACUUCUUGCAAUGGUCCCAAUCUGUGAAGAUGUAUCUACAUGGACGUGGCCGCUUGGGGUAUUUGAAUGGUUCUAUUGCUGCUCCUGACCUUGCUGAUCCAUCUUAUUCCAAAUGGGAGUCAGGAAACUCUCAUUAUGGCAUGGCUGAUCAACUCCAUGGAAGUUGAUAUUGGUAAGACUUAUCUAUUUCUCUCCACUGCUCAGGAAGUGUGGGAUACUGUCCAGGAAGCUUUCUUGGAUUUGGAGAAUUCUGCUCAGGUGUUUGAACUCAAGUCUCGACUUAGGGACCAGCGACAAAACUCUCUUUCGGUAACUCAAUACUAUGGUAUUCUUUAUAAUCUUUGGCAAGAGAUUGAUUUAUUUUAUGUGCUGAAUGGAAUGUUCUGCUGAUGCUUCUAUUUAUCAAAAGAUGCUUGAUCGAGAGACUUUUUGAUUUUCUCCAUGGACUUAACCAAGACCUAGACGAGGUUCGUGGUUGUCUCUUAGGAAAUUCCCACCAUUCGUGAGGCUUUUGCAGAAGUUUGCAGGGAGGAAGUCGUAAAAGGGUCAUGAUGGGCUCUCCCGUUGCUGCUGAAACUGAUCAUUCUGCCCUUGCUGCCCGACGUCCUAAUGAUGGUGAAGACUCUCGAGGGACUCGUCGUGAACGCUCCUGGUGUACUCACUACAGGAAGGUUGGUCAUACCAGGGAGACAUGUUGGAAGAUUCAUGGGAAGCCUGUUGAUUGGAAGCCUCGCUCCUCUAAUCGCACCAAUUCUGAGAGUCACGCCUUAAUCGCUGCUCCACCUGAGCCUUUUCCAUUUUCUCAAGCCCAAAUCACUGAACUCCAUCAGCUAUUAAACACAUCAACCUAUGAGCAAUUAUCUGGAGAAAAUUCUAUAUUUUUAUUAUAUUUUCAAUGAAUAGAUUACAUUUGAUACUUAUACUGUAUUUUACAAUAAAUAAAAUAGGAACUAACUCCCUAACUAAAUAGGACCUGACUAAAGACUAACUAAUCAGCCUAUGACUAGGGAAACCAUACGACUGAUUCUACACUCCUCCUCAAGCUGGAUGAUAUAUGUCAUACAUCCCAAGCUUGUCUAUCAAUCGCUCAAACAUAGGUUUAACAAGAGCUUUUGUCAGAAUGUCCGCUGUUUGUUGAGAAGUCGAUAUGUAGGAAACCUCAAGAAUCCCUUCAUCAAUUUUUUCCUUUAUAAAGUGUCGAUCAAUUUCAACAUGUUUCAUCCUAUCAUGAUGGACAGGGUUGUGUGAAAUUGAAAUUGCAGCCUUGUUGUCACACCAAAUGAUUAUAGGACCUUGCUUCAGUACUUGUAGUUCUCCAAGGAGAUGUUUCAGCCAAAGUGCCUCACAUAUACCAAGAGCAGUAGAACGAAGUUCAGCCUCAGCACUACUCCUAGCAACCACAGACUGCUUCUUACUUCUCCAAGUAACCAAGUUUCCAAAAACAUAAGAGCAAUUUCCUGAAGUAGAUCUCUGAUCAUUUGGACAUCCUGCCCAGUCAGCAUCAACAAACACUUCAAUACUCCUCUUAGCUUGUUUCCUGAACAUUAACCCUCUACUAGGAGUCCCCUUAAAUAUUUUAAUACUCAGUUUGCAGCAUCCAAGUGACAUUGAUAUGGUGAAUCCAUGAACUGACUAAUACAACUUACUGAAAAAGCAAUAUCCGGCCUGGUGUGAGCAAGAUAAAUUAACCUUCCAACCAGCUGUUGAAACAUACCUCGGUCAACUGGUGAAUCUUUAGGAUUGACUUCAAGUUUAAUAUUUGGGUCCAUAGGAGUAUCCACUCGUUUACACCCCAUUAAUCCAGUAUCUUCCAACAAAUCUAGGACAUAUUUUCGUUGUGAGACAAAUAUUCCUUCCUGACUUCUAGCAACUUCCAUACCAAGAAAAAACCCGAGUUUCCAAGAUCCUUCAUCUCAAAAGUCUUUGCAAGAUGCUUCUUGAUUCUAUUUAUCUCUUCAAGAUCAUCACCGGUGAUUAUAAUAUCAUCCACGUAGACUAUCAGUAUAGCAAUCUUGUUUUUUACUCUAUGAUGAAACAAAGUGUGAUCGGUAUGAGCUUGCUUGUAUCCUAAUUGUAGAACAGUUCUGGUAAACCUAUCAAACCACGCCUUAGGAGACUGCUUCAACCCAUAGAGAGCCUUCUUCAAAUGACAAACUGAUCCCUCUCUUUUUUUAUUAAACCCUGGUGGUAGAUCCAUGUACGCUUCUUCUGCCAAAUUGCCAUUAAGGAAGGCAUUUUUGACAUCUAGCUGAAACAGCGACCAAUCUAAGUUUGUUGCAAGAGAUAACAACACUUGAAUAGUAUUGAUCUUAGCCACAGGAGCAAAGGUCUCUUGAUAAUCUAUGCCAUAAGUCUGUGUAUAACCCUUUGCAACUAGACGCGCCUUGCACCUUUCAACAGAUCCAUCACUCUUGUACUUAAUUGUAAAGACCCAUUUGCAUCCAACAUGUUCUUUCCCUGCUGGUCAGUCCACUAUUUCCCAUGUAUCCUUUUUUUCUAAAGCCUUGAUCUCCUCACAAACUGCUGCAUACCACUGUUUGCUUUUAAAAGCUUCCUCAAUAUUUUUUGGUACCACUGUUUCUGAAAGAUUAGUUACCAAGGCUUGCGAAGGUCUAGAUAAAUGAGAAUAGCCCAAAAAAUCUGAUAUAGGAUGUUUUAUAGUACACAAGCGAGUACCUUUAUGUAGAGCAAUUGGCAUAUCCAACUCAGUGUUUUCAGGACUUGGUUUCGAAGCAGAUGAUUGGUGUGCUGGUGGUGCUGGUUCAGUACCUAUUUCUGCAUGUUUUCUUCUGCUGUAAGUCAGAGGGAAAGGAGAAAUUGAUGGUACCACAGGCGCUGGAAUUUGGGGACUAUUUUGACCAGAAUUUUGAAUUUCUUGAAUAGGUAAAGAAGCUAGGUCAGCUCCCUGAUUUUGUGGGGAAUAAGUCGGCUCAACAUGCUGAAUUUGUGGACCAUUUCGAAUUAAAUUCAAAUCAGAAAUAUCAAAGUUAUUUUGAGAAAAAUCUGGCGGAUUUGGUGGGAUUUGGUCAAAGGAAUUUGGACCAAUCUAAUUUGAAUUUAAAUUGGAAAUAUGAGAAAUAUUAAUAUUCUGAUUUUUUUUCCCUGAUUUGAUGGGAAUACAGUCCCCCCUGAGUCGAAUUAGGAGGGGAAUUUAAAUCCCAAAAAUAUUCCCAAUUUUGUUGAGAAAUAAGAGGAGCUGGAUCAGAAAAAUUCGAAAAAUCAAAAGGUUCCUGCUGACUAGAAGAAUCCAAAUAAAAUGACUGAUGCUCAAAAAAUAUUACAUCUCUAGAAAUAAAAUAUUUUCUUUUUGAAGGAGAAUAGCAUCGGUAACCCUUUUGGGUAGAAGAAUAUCCAACAAAAACACAUUUUUGACUUCUAGGAUCCAAUUUAGUUCUAAGAUGAGUGAAUAUGAACAAAAACAGUAUAUCCAAAAAUUCUUAAAGAGAGAUCAAAAAAUAGAUUACUAUUUGGAAAGCAUUCAUGAAGAACUGAAAUUGGAGUUUUGAAUUUUAAAAUCCGAGAUGGCAAUCGGUUUAUUAAAUAGCAGGCAGUUAAAAUUGUAUCCCCCAAUAGUGUUUAGGCAAAUUACUAGUAAAAAGUAAUGCACGAGCAACCUCUAGUAGGUGCCUAUUUUUUCUUUCAGAUACACCAUUUUGUUGGGGUUUAUCAACACAAGAACUUUGAUGGAUGAUUCCUCUGUUUGAGCAAAAAUUAUUUAGAGUGGCAAUAAAAUACUCAGUUCCAUUAUCAGUUCGAAGAAUCUGGAUACGAGAAUCAAAUUGAGUAAAAAUCAUGUUAUAAAAUUGCUCAAAUAUUUGCACAACUUUAGAUUUUUCACGUAAAAGAAAUAUCCAACAAACACGCAAAUGAUCAUCAAUAAACGUAAUAAAUCACCUUUUAUUUGAAAUAGAAGAAAUUUUUGAUGGACCCCAUAGAUCACUAUGAACAAUAGAAAAAGGUUUAGAAGAAUGAUAUGAAUGAAGUGAAAAAGGAAUUCUAGUAUGCUUAGCUAACUAACAAACUCCACACACAAAAUUAUCCGAGGAAAGAAAUAAUGAGGGAAAUAUGCGACGCAUGUAAGAGAAACUAGGACGACCAAGACGAUGAUGGAGCAAUUUUAUUUGGUGGUGACGCUGAGAAGAUAAUGAACCAUGGACAACUUGACAACAACGAACUUCAGGACCAGCACGAAGAAGAUAAUAUAAUCCAGCCACUUCAGCAUGCCCAAUCAUCCUCCCCGAAUCCUGAUCCUGGAAAACAUAUAUUUUUUGAGAAAUUAGCAACACAAUUAGAGUCCCGAGUUAAUUUGCUAAUAGAAAGAAAAUUAUAAGACAACUUAGGGACAAAUAGAACAUGGUGUAGCAUGAAAUGGGAAUUAAAAACCACAGAUCCAACCCCCUCUACUGGAGCAAUAGAUCUAUCUGCCAAUGUAACAGUACUAGUACCAAAAUAUUUUUUGUACGAAGAGAAAAUAUUAUGAGAACUCGAAUCAUUAAUGUGUUCGGAAGCACCCGAAUCAAUUAUCCAAAACUCACCCAAUGUGUCUGACUCGUUCACAGUGGAAGAAGAAAUACCACGAGUCAUUAAUGAUUUAGAUGAAGAGAACAAUCGUCCAAUCUGAUCAAGUUGAGCUUGAGUGAAGGUCAUGGAUGAGGAAGCAACUGCAUCAGGUUUUUGAGUCACUACAUCAAGUUUGGGGAAGGCUGGUGCAUCAGGUUUGGAGGUUGUUGGUGGUUUGACUCCAUUAUUCUGUGGUUGCGUGGCACCUAGUCGGCUGGCUUACCAUGUAGCUUCCAACACGUUUCUUUGCUAUGAUGAGGCCGACUACAGUGUGUACACCAAAGAGGCUUUCGAGAAUCAGAUGAGCGAGCAGCCAUGGCAGAUGCAUUGGAGUUAAGUGGUGGAGUUGAACUCAUAGAAGGACCUCCAAGCAUAAUACGACGGCGUUCUUCACGACGAACCUCUGAAAAAAUAGAAUCAAGAGUCGGAAGUUUCUUAUUACUGAGGAUGCGACUACGAACAUCAUCAAGGACAGGAUUGAGACCAGUCAAAAAAUCAUAGGUUUGUUCUUUUGCAAGCAAUUUCCUAUAAAUCUCUUGAUUGGUAGUGUCUGUCCAAAUUGGCCGAGUAAAAAGGUCAAGUUCCUGCCAAAGUUUGGUUAGAGAACUAUAAUAUUGAGUGACAGUACCUUCAUCUUGACACAAAUUCCUAGAGCGAUGUCGUAAAUCGAACAUUUGUGAAUAAUCCUCCAAAUCUGAAUAAGCUAAAAGCACUGCAUCCCAUCUUGUUUUUGCUAUCGGGUAGAACAAAUAAAUUUUAGCAAUGGAAUCAUCCAUUGAGUGUAGGAGCCACGCCAUAACCAUGGAAUUGUUGAUAUCCCAAGAAGGAAAAGUAGGAUCAGUAGAAGCUGGUUUCAGAAUCGAACCAUCGAGAUAGCCAAAAUGGCCUUUUCCUCGAAUGAUGAGUUGAACAAAGCGGGACCAUUGAAGGUAAUUCUGGCCAUUAAGUUUGAAACUUGUAAUUUGGAAAGGCAGGGAGUUAUUAUCAGUGGCAGUAGGAUUGGUGGAAGUGAUUGUGGGAUUUGAAGGUGGGGAAUUAUUAUCAGUAGGAUUUGUGGGAAUGAUUGUGGGAUUUGAUGGACCUGUGUCCAAGGACACAUCAGAUUCAUUUGUCCCGCUCAUUCCAGAAAAAUUGAAUUUUCUCAACCAAAAAAUUGCUUUUAAGUGUGAGUAAGCUCUGAUACCAUAUGAGCAAUUAUCAGGAGAAAAUUCUAUAUUUUUAUUAUAUUUUCAAUGAAUAGAUUACACCUGAUAUUUAUACUGUAUUUACAAUAAAUAAAAUAGGAACUAACUCCCUAACUAAUAGGACCUGACUAAAGACUAACUAAUCACCCUAUGACUAGGGAAACCAUACGACUGAUUCUACGCAACCACUGCUUCCGCACCUGAACCUGUGUCUACUCUUAAUCAAGGUACUUCUGUUGCCUUCAAUGCUCAAAAAACUGCCUGGAUUGUAGACUCAGGGGCUUCAGACCACAUGACUAGUCAUUCCAGCCACUUUACCACAUAUUCUCCUUGGCGAGGAUAUGUUCUCGGGGAAGAUGAUUGGGAAUGCGAAGGUUUUGACGGGUAUCACAGAACCUGAGCUAUAUAUCUUAGAUACAUUUGAGGACGAUGAGUAUGAAAGACACACUGUUGAGGUUUCAUUAGAGGAUAGUUCUGGAAAGUUACUAGCUCACACUUACGUUUGG